AGCUCCAAUAGCGUAUAUUAAAGUUGUUGCAGUUAAAAAGCUCGUAGUUGGAUCUCGGCGGGCAGGGGGUGGUUCGCUCUUCAGCGCUACUGACCCGCUUUGCCCGUGGGAUUGGCGGAGGUUUCGGGGUGCUCUUCGUUGAGUGACUCGGAGCGCCGUCAGGGUUACUUUGAAAAAAUUAGAGUGCUCAAAGCAGGCUUUUCACGCUUGAAUAUUCGUGCAUGGAAUAAUGGAAUAGGAACUCGUUUCUAUUUUGUUGGUUUUCGGAAAUCGAGUUAAUGAUUAACAGGGACAAUUGGGGGCAUUAGUAUUCAGACGACAGAGGUGAAAUUCUUGGAUUGCUUUACGACGAACUACUGCGAAAGCAUUUGCCAAAGAUGUUUUCA
rnacentral:rRNA from 1 species